rnacentral:rRNA from 1 species
CGGUGGAGCAUGUGGUUUAAUUCGAAGCAACGCGAAGAACCUUACCAGGCCUUGACAUGCAGAGAACUUUCCAGAGAUGGAUUGGUGCCUUCGGGAACUCUGACACAGGUGCUGCAUGGCUGUCGUCAGCUCGUGUCGUAAGAUGUUGGGUUAAGUCCCGUAACGAGCGCAACCCUUGUCCUUAGUUACCAGCACGUUAUGGUGGGCACUCUAAGGAGACUGCCGGUGACAAACCGGAGGAAGGUGGGGAUGACGUCAAGUCAUCAUGGCCCUUACGGCCUGGGCUACACACGUGCUACAAUGGUCGGUACAAAGGGUUGCCAAGCCGCGAGGUGGAGCUAAUCCCAUAAAACCGAUCGUAGUCCGGAUCGCAGUCUGCAACUCGACUGCGUGAAGUCGGAAUCGCUAGUAAUCGUGAAUCAGAAUGUCACGGUGAAUACGUUCCCGGGCCUU